CGUGACUUAUGUACUAGGAAACUAGGAA
rnacentral:piRNA from 1 species